AGUGAACGCUGGCGGUAGGCCUAACACAUGCAAGUCGAACGGCAGCACAGUAAGAGCUUGCUCUUAAGGGUGGCGAGUGGCGGACGGGUGAGGAAUACAUCGGAAUCUACUUUUUCGUGGGGGAUAACGUAGGGAAACUUACGCUAAUACCGCAUACGACCUACGGGUGAAAGCAGGGGAUCUUCGGACCUUGCGCGAUUGAAUGAGCCGAUGUCGGAUUAGCUAGUUGGCGGGGUAAAGGCCCACCAAGGCGACGAUCCGUAGCUGGUCUGAGAGGAUGAUCAGCCACACUGGAACUGAGACACGGUCCAGACUCCUACGGUAGGCAGCAGUGGGGAAUAUUGGACAAUGGGCGCAAGCCUGAUCCAGCCAUACCGCGUGGGUGAAGAAGGCCUUCGGGUUGUAAAGCCCUUUUGUUGGGAAAGAAAAGCAGCAGGUUAAUACCCCGCUGUUCUGACGGUACCCAAAGAAUAAGCACCGGCUAACUUCGUG
rnacentral:rRNA from 1 species